GAGUUUGAUCAUGGCUCAGGAUGAACGCUAGCGGCAGGCUUAACACAUGCAAGUCGAGGGGUAGUUACUUUCGGGUAAUGAGACCGGCGCACGGGUGCGUAACGCGUAUGCAAUCUACCUUUUACAGAGGGAUAGCCCAGAGAAAUUUGGAUUAAUACCUCAUAGUAUAACGACUCCGCAUGGAGAUGUUAUUAAAGUUCCAACGGUAAAAGAUGAGCAUGCGUCCCAUUAGUUAGUUGGUAAGGUAACGGCUUACCAAGACGAUGAUGGGUAGGGGUCCUGAGAGGGAGAUCCCCCACACUGGUACUGAGACACGGACCAGACUCCUACGGGAGGCAGCAGUGAGGAAUAUUGGACAAUGGGCGCAAGCCUGAUCCAGCCAUGCCGCGUGCAGGAAGAAGCAUCUAUGGUGUGUAAACUGCUUUUAUACAGGAAGAAACACUCCCUCGUGAGGGAGCUUGACGGUACUGUAAGAUUAAGGACCGGCUAACUCCGUGCC
rnacentral:rRNA from 1 species